CCCGCAGGCAGCACUGCCCUAAGCUUCUGCUAUAAUCACAAUAAAACUACACGAAUUGAGCGAAUCGCCAUCAAGCAGCAUAUUUUCUCCUCAUUGAACUGUCAAAACACAACACAACAGUUUUAGGAAAGAGGAACGAUUUUUAUUGGCUUGAUCGAACUCCCGAACUGCAGAGUAGACAGAUAGUACAGGAUUAUUUCACAUUGCCUUCCACCGCUCCACCGACAGCAGUAAAUACAGGUUAAUCUCGCAUUGCCUUCCACCGCUCCACCGACAGCAGGCAUCAUAGUAAAUACAGAUUUACUAAACAUAGUCUACUAGUCUACUAUCAGAUUACAAACAGCUGCACUGCACCCCUUCUGGUAGAAAAGGACAAAAAAAGGCUACGGAACGAUUUUCACCUAAGAAACUGGCUGAUUAAUCAGGACUGUUUUGCCCUCGUUGGCAAUGACAAUAUCCCUUGGAAGCGAAUGUUUGGAAAAAUCGGUUUACGACACAUCUAUUUUGCUUACUGGCUUCGGACAUAUCCGAUAGUACCCUUCCAUUAGAGUGAUAAUUAGAAAGGGAAGUUAUAAUUCUUGCUUAAUGAUACCUAUCGAUUCCAAACUAUAAAAUUGCCAAGUAAAAAGUGCAUCUUUCUGUGCUACCACAUUAGUAAUCGCAUUAGGAAUCGAUUUCUAUUAACAAAACACCUCCAAAUCUCGUAGUGAUGCUUAUCGAACAAUUCUAUUUAUUUAAAACCAUUUUAACCAUUACAAAAAUAAAAAUCAGCUACAAUAUAUGAACCCGCCAACGGCAAUCUACGGUCACUCUGAACUGAGUCUAAUAAGUCGUGCAAAAAUAAUUAUAUUAACUGAUUAUUACAUCAAUUGUUCACAUUUAUUUUAAUUCAUUGGUUUGUUUUAUUCAUAGAAUAAUUUAUCCGCAAUACGAUAAAUGAAAAAGUAGAAUUUGUAUUUUUGGUUGAUAAAUUAAAUUAGAUGAAUUAAUUUGUUGUUUUUUUUCGGUUUCCAAAACUAUAACUAAUU